rnacentral:rRNA from 1 species
GACGAACGCUGGCGGCGUGCCUAAUACAUGCAAGUAGAACGCUGAAGGAGGAGCUUGCUUCUCCGGAUGAGUUGCGAACGGGUGAGUAACGCGUAGGUAACCUGCCUGGUAGCGGGGGAUAACUAUUGGAAACGAUAGCUAAUACCGCAUAAGAGUAGAUGUCGCAUGACAUUUGCUUAAAAGGUGCAAUUGCAUCACUACCAGAUGGACCUGCGUUGUAUUAGCUAGUUGGUGGGGUAACGGCUCACCAAGGCGACGAUACAUAGCCGACCUGAGAGGGUGAUCGGCCACACUGGGACUGAGACACGGCCCAGACUCCUACGGGAGGCAGCAGUAGGGAAUCUUCGGCAAUGGACGGAAGUCUGACCGAGCAACGCCGCGUGAGUGAAGAAGGUUUUCGGAUCGUAAAGCUCUGUUGUAAGAGAAGAAUGAGUGUGAGAGUGGAAAGUUCACACUGUGACGGUAUCUUACCAGAAAGGGACGGCUAACUACGUGCCAGCAGCCGCGGUAAUACGUAGGUCCCGAGCGUUGUCCGGAUUUAUUGGGCGUAAAGCGAGCGCAGGCGGUUAGAUAAGUCUGAAGUUAAAGGCUGUGGCUUAACCAUAGUACGCUUUGGAAACUGUUUAACUUGAGUGCAAGAGGGGAGAGUGGAAUUCCAUGUGUAGCGGUGAAAUGCGUAGAUAUAUGGAGGAACACCGGUGGCGAAAGCGGCUCUCUGGCUUGUAACUGACGCUGAGGCUCGAAAGCGUGGGGAGCAAACAGG